rnacentral:lncRNA from 1 species
GGAUCCCCAAAGAAUGGGUGCCCGUAUUCCAUUGCAAGAGGGACCGCCUAGUGGACCAACAGGGUCGGGUGAAAAUAGGAGCGGGGCAGGGCAGCAGCAAGGACAGCAUUAUGCUUAUCCAGCCAUGCCACCACCACCUCCAGGUCAAUUCUUCCCUCCAUAUUAUCCACAGUAUGGUUAUAUGCCGCCCCCACCACCACAUGCACCUCACCAGCAAUACCGUCCCCCUUACCAGUCUACAAUGCCCGCCCCCCCACCUCCUUCGGGUGACCAGGCUUAUCAGCAGAAACCACUGGAAGGGACUUCACAACAAUCGUAGAAUUUGCAAUAUGCUCAUGUCUGUUUA